CCUACGGGUGGCAGCAGUGGGGAAUAUUGCGCAAUGGGCGAAAGCCUGACGCAGCGACGCCGCGUGAGUGAUGAAGGUCUUCGGAUCGUAAACCUCUGUCAGCAGGGAAGAACGGUAACUGUGCUAAUCAGCAGUGAAUUGACGGUACCUGCAAAGGAAGCACCGGCUAACUCCGUGCCAGCAGCCGCGGUAAUACGGAGGGUGCGAGCGUUAAUCGGAAUUACUGGGCGUAAAGCGCUCGUAGGCGGUAGGUCAAGUCAAGGGUGAAAUCCCCGGGCUCAACGUGGGAACUGCAUUGGAAACUGGCAAGCUUGAGGUUGUGAGAGGAGAGUGGAAUUCCAGGUGUAGGAGUGAAAUGCGUAGAUAUCUGGAGGAACAUCGGUGGCGAAGGCGACUAUCUGGCACAUGACUGACGCUGAGGAGCGAAAGCGUGGGUAGCAAACAGGAUUAGAUACCCGAGUAGUC
rnacentral:rRNA from 1 species